rnacentral:rRNA from 1 species
UACGAAGGGUGCAAGCGUUACUCGGAAUUACUGGGCGUAAAGCGUGCGUAGGUGGUUUGUUAAGUCUGAUGUGAAAGCCCUGGGCUCAACCUGGGAACGGCAUUGGAAACUGGCUUACUAGAGUGCGGUAGAGGGGUGUGGAAUUCCCGGUGUAGCAGUGAAAUGCGUAGAGAUCGGGAGGAACAUCAGUUGCGAAGGCGGCUCUCUGGACCAGCACUGACACUGAGGCACGAAAGCGUGGGGAGCAAACAGG